UCGGGCGUGGUGUAAUUGGCAACACUCUGGCCUUUGGUGCCAGCUUUUCAGGUUCGAGUCCUGGCGCCCGAGC
rnacentral:tRNA from 1 species